rnacentral:rRNA from 1 species
UGAGGAAUAUUGGUCAAUGGGGGCAACCCUGAACCAGCCAAGUCGCGUGAAGGAUGAAGGUCUUAUGGAUUGUAAACUUCUUUUACACGGGAAUAAAGUGGGGGACGUGUCCCCCUUUGCAUGUACCGUGUGAAUAAGGAUCGGCUAACUCCGUGCCAGCAGCCGCGGUAAUACGGAGGAUCCGAGCGUUAUCCGGAUUUAUUGGGUUUAAAGGGUGCGCAGGCGGGAUGUUAAGUCGGCGGUGAAAUUUUGCAGCUCAACUGUAAAAGUGCCUUCGAUACUGGCCUCCUUGAGCGUGGAUGAAGUAGGCGGAAUUUGUGGUGUAGCGGUGAAAUGCUUAGAUAUCACGAGGAACUCCGAUUGCGCAGGCAGCUUACUAAGCCACAACUGACGCUCAUGCACGAAGGCGUGGGGAUCAAAC